UCGGUGUCGCGGAGCGAGAGCGCGCACUCUGGUACCCGAAAGAUGGUGAACUAUGCCUGGGCAGGACGAAGCCAGAGGAAACUCUGGUGGAGGUCCGGAGCGAUUCUGACGUGCAAAUCGAUCGUCAGACCUUGGUAUAGGGGCGAAAGACUAAUCGAACCGUCUAGUAGCUGGUUCCCUCCGAAGUUUCCCUCAGGAUAGCCGGCGCUCUAGUAAUCGGUCUCAUCCGGUAAAGCGAAUGAUUAGAGGCCUUGGGGCCGAAACGACCUCAACCUAUUCUCAAACUUUAAAUGGGUGAGAAGUCCGGCUUGCUCGACUGAAGCCCGGACCGUAGGACGUGAGUGCCGAGUGGGCCACUUUUGGUAAGCAGAACUGGCGAUGCGGGAUGAACCGAACGCCGGGUUACGGCGCCAGAUGCCAGACGCUCAGCAGAUCCCAGAAAAGGUGUUGGUUGCUAUAGACAGCAGGACGGUGGCCAUGGAAGUCGGAAUCCGCUAAGGAGUGUGUAACAACUCACCUGCCGAAGCAACUAGCCCUGAAAAUGGAUGGCGCUCCAGCGUCGAGCCUAUACCCGGCCGUCGCGGCGGUGCGGCGCAACGUAUGCCGCG
rnacentral:rRNA from 1 species